rnacentral:rRNA from 1 species
AUUGAACGCUGGCGGCAGGCCUAACACAUGCAAGUCGAACGAGUGGCGGACGGGUGAGUAAUGUCUGGGAAACUGCCUGCUGGAGGGGGAUAACUACUGGAAACGGUAGCUAAUACCGCAUACCAUCGGAUGUUCCCAGAUGGGAUUAGCUAGUUGGUGGGGUAAAGGCUCACCUAGGCUACGAUCCCUAGCUGGUCUGAGAGGAUGACCGUCCAAACUGGAACUGAGACACGGUCCAGACUCCUACGGGAGGAAGAAGUGGGGAAUAUUGCACAAUGGGCGCAAGCCGGAUGCAGCCAUGCCGCGUGGAUGAAGAAGGCCUUCGGGUUGUAAAGUACUUUCAGCGGGGAGGCGGUACCCGCAGAAGAAGCACCGGCUAACUCCGUGCCAGCAGCCGCGGUAAUAC